rnacentral:ncRNA from 1 species
CCUUAUUAAGAGUGGUGGAGGGACUAGGCCCUAUGAAGCCCGGCAACCCGGUGGUGACACAUGCGGGUGCCAAAUCCUACAGCGUCAGCUGAAAGAUGAGG